AUUGAACGCUGGCGGAAUGCUUUACACAUGCAAGUCGAACGGCAGCACGGACUUCGGUCUGGUGGCGAGUGGCGAACGGGUGAGUAACAUAUCGGAACGUAUCCAAUAAUGGGGGAUAACUAAUCGAAAGGUUGGCUAAUACCGCAUACGCCCUACGGGGGAAAGCUAGGGACCUUCGGGCCUGGCGUUAAUGGAGCGGCCGAUAUCUGAUUAGCUAGUUGGUGGGGUAAAGGCCCACCAAGGCGACGAUCAGUAGCUGGUCUGAGAGGACGACCAGCCACACUGGAACUGAGACACGGUCCAGACUCCUACGGGAGGCAGCAGUGGGGAAUUUUGGACAAUGGGCGCAAGCCUGAUCCAGCCAUUCCGCGUGAGUGAAGAGGGCCUUCGGGUUGUAAAGCUCUUUCGCAAGGGAAGAAAACUUAUCCUCUAACAUAGGGUGAGGUUGACGGUACCUUGAUAAGAAGCACCGGCUAACUACGUGCCAGCCGCCGCAGUAAAAC
rnacentral:rRNA from 1 species